AAAAUCCGUCGACUUUAAAAAUCGUGAGGGUUCAAGUCCCUCUAUCCCCAAAAAAAGCCUAUAUUGACUCCUAAAAUAUUUAACCUAUCCCC
rnacentral:tRNA from 1 species